GAUGAACGCUGGCGGCGUGCCUAAUACAUGCAAGUCGAGCGAACAGACGAGGAGCUUGCUCCUCUGACGUUAGCGGCGGACGGGUGAGUAACACGUGGAUAACCUACCUAUAAGACUGGGAUAACUUCGGGAAACCGGAGCUAAUACCGGAUAACAUGUUGAACCGCAUGGUUUAACAGUGAAAGACGGUCUUGCUGUCACUUAUAGAUGGAUCCGCGCCGCAUUAGCUAGUUGGUAAGGUAACGGCUUACCAAGGCAACGAUGCGUAGCCGACCUGAGAGGGUGAUCGGCCACACUGGAAGUGAGACAGGGUCCAGACUCCUACGGGAGGCAGCAGUAGGGAAUCUUCCGCAAUGGGCGAAAGCCUGACGGAGCAACGCCGCGUGAGUGAAGAAGGUCUUCGGAUCGUAAAACUCUGUUAUUAGGGAAGAACAAAUGUGUAAGUAACUAUGCACGUCUUGACGGUACCUAAUCAGAAAGCCACGGCUAACUACCUG
rnacentral:rRNA from 1 species